rnacentral:rRNA from 1 species
ACGAACGCUGGCGGCGUGCUUAACCCCUGCAAGUCGAACGGAAAGGCCCUGCUUUUGUGGGGUGCUCGAGUGGCGAACGGGUGAGUAACACGUGAGUAACCUGCCCUUGACUUUGGGAUAACUUCAGGAAACUGGGGCUAAUACCGGAUAGGAGCUCCUGCUGCAUGGUGGGGGUUGGAAAGUUUCGGCGGUUGGGGAUGGACUCGCGGCUUAUCAGCUUGUUGGUGGGGUAGUGGCUUACCAAGGCUUUGACGGGUAGCCGGCCUGAGAGGGUGACCGGCCACAUUGGGACUGAGAUACGGCCCAGACUCCUACGGGAGGCAGCAGUGGGGAAUAUUGCACAAUGGGCGGAAGCCUGAUGCAGCAACGCCGCGUGCGGGAUGGCGGCCUUCGGGUUGUAAACCGCUUUCGCCUGUGACGAAGCGUGAGUGACGGUAAUGGGUAAAGAAGCACCGGCUAACUACGUG